CAGCUCUGCAUUUUCCUCAUGAUCACUUCCAUACCUUUCCGUACAUGUGCAAGAUUGAUGUCAGUUGACCAGUGUGGAUUUCUAUGCAGACAAUGUGUGUUUCUGUAUCCUGCGUCAACCAGCAGGUAAAAUUUGACUACCACAGAGACCCAGGGACUGUGAACACAAAGGGUAGCGUUGCAGCUGGGAGAUUUCUAGAACUGGAUCACUGUUCCUGCACGGAGAAGCUGCCUGCCGCCUUGACAGUGUAAAAGAGACAGUGAGUCAGAUUCUGAUCUCGGUGGCACUAGCUGUAACAGAUCACUGUUUGGCUUGGUAGAUUUCUUCUUUUAUUUCUGCAUCCUAGUGGUAGUCACCUGGUUUCUCACUGAAGAUUCUGUUAGAAUAUUUGCCACAAUCAUCUCUGUUCCCCUGUUUGGAAAAGUCUGUCUAUCCUAGCAGUGAGGUCAAUGGGAGAUCUAGAAGUAUGGGAGAGAGCAACAUUAUGUCAGAACUAAGAUUCGUCAUGCAUAUCUGAAAAAAUAAUUUUAUCCUUAUUCAGUGUCCAAGUUAAUUCUCUUAAAGGGAAAUCAGUUUGACUGCUAUCUUAAAAAAUGCACAACAACUCUAGAAAUAAAGCACUGAUCUGUGCCCAUGAGAUUUGAGUCCUGUUCUCAUCCUGACCUGAAUUUUCCACCUAAUUAAGGUCUAAUUCUGAUUAGUUUCUCAGCCAGCUGCCAUUUUUUUCGCCUUGGAAAUAUCCCUUGUGUGCUUCUGGAUCUCAAUUUCAUUAUCUGUAGAACGGGCUAGGGGUACUACCAAGCUUGCAGGGAUGUGUGAGGUCAACAAUGACAUGUAUAAAAUAACAGAGUUUGUUGUUUGCAAGGUGUUAUAGAGCUGCCCUGUGCUUUAUAUCUGUAACAAAUUGAUGGCCAAUUGGGAUGUCAUAGCUGUUGUCAUACUGCGUAGUACUUCCCCAUGGAACUUAGUAGCACCAUGACAGUUGAAUUGUCUUGCUAUAGAACAUGGGCUACCAUUUCCUGAGUAAAGAAAAUCCAAUUUUGAAGCUAUCAGUUUGUGGUCUUUGGCAUUCAGGAGAACAUAAUUCCAUGUUGGACACAUAUACACACAUAUAACACAGCCAAGUUUCACAUAGUAUUAAGACAUCAUUUAAUUAUAUUGGAUGGUUUCUUUUUGUGGCUCUUGAGUA